AGUAAAAGUGAAAAACGCUUAGGCGAAAAAACAAUGUUUUUACCCCAUGUCUGAAAGGUAAAUGUAAGUCAAAUGGAGCAUAAUGUCAAAUAAUUCAUUUGACAUCUGCAGCGUUAGUGCCUGUUUCGACGCAAAACAAUAGUUGCAUGUGAUAAAAGUUAACUGUAAUAAAAUUGAAACGUGGCAGAUAUCACAAUAAAUUAAAUCGUUAUGUAACAAAUAAAUCAAGACCACACACAUACCAGCAAUAGCAAGAUCUCAGUGUCACUGUAGGAUAUUUAUCAUCACAAUCACCACAGUGUUCCGAAAUACGAUAAAGUUAAUUUAAAUAAAUAAUUGAUCCGUCAAAAUUCCAGUUUCACCAUGGAAAUUUACGUUGAACUCGGAGUGGAUGUGGUAAGGAAAACGAACUGGGGAUGGGAAAUUUAUCAAGUGCUGCUCAGAUUCCGAACUUUCUUCCGGCACAGAGGUCACCGGUUUCUCCCCGGGCCAAUAGCAUUCAUUUAAAUGUAACUAAUUUUGAAUAAAGAAGGUUUAAACUUA